rnacentral:rRNA from 1 species
AUGGAGCCGGCCGAGAAGGUGGAACAGUGCGCACCCAGCUGGCUCAAGGAGCUGUUCGAGCACCCCGAGAAGGGGGGUGAGGAGGCGGCGGACGUCGAACGGACACUGGAGAAGAGGCAGAAGCUUCUGCUGCUUCUUGAGAUCCUUGCGGCGAGCCUCACCUACCAAGCCGGCAUGAGCCUGCCGGGCGGCUUCUGGCAAGAGAGCAAGCUCGGCCAUGUCGCCGGCGACCCGGUGCUCAACGACAACUACCCGCGCCGCUACGUGGCCUUCUUCUACCGCAACGCGACGGCCUUCGUUGCGUCCCUUGGCGUCAUCAUGCUGCUGGUGAACAGGAAGCUCUUGGCGACAGGGAUACGGUCCCGCGCACUGCGGGUGUGCGUGAUCCUCGACCUCGUCGGCCUCAUGGGCGCCUUCGCCGCCGGGAGCUGCCGGAAGGUGUCAACCUCGAUCUACGUUCUCGUUCUGACAUUCGCAGUUCUACUCUGCAUCGCUCUCCAGGUCACGCUGGUCUUGUCGGAGACGGCGUGA